UUUCUUGAAGCUGGCAUUUGUGCAAGUCUACAGAUGCAUGCUCUUUUCCAGCUGCAGCUGUGCCAAUGAGAAGUGCCCCAGCCUGCUCCUCCCGCUAAUGCUGGAAGUUAUCACCCUCUCUGAUCUGCUGGCCAGGCUCCUCAUGUGACUUUCCAGAACUUGUUUCAGUCGAAAUAAGCUGCUGUAACAGUGGCCAUUCUUUAAAUUCUUAAAAUUGACUCAUCUCAUUUUAGUGGAUGUUGGUUAGAGGCCACAGAGAGAAGGUGACGAGUGCAUAAGGACAAGGUGCCACUUCAGUAACCUCUUCAACUGGUGCAGCUACAUCCUGAAAAGGAACAAGACUAACAACGAUGUUUCCCAGCAGUCAAAAGUGUGCAGAAUCUGGCUGAAGGAAAAAGUGGGUGCUCUGAACUUCCAGCUGAAAACAGCCUGCCCUACACAGCUAAGUAAACUGUUAUUGUCAAGAAUGUGGGCACUCUCCAUUUUAUGCCAGGCUGUGUGCGCGCUCCCUGCUAAAGCAUUUCCUUUAGCAAAACAAAUAAGCACCACAACGACAAAUACUACAACAAUCGGUCAAUUGAGAGACUGAAACACUACUUUGCCACAGUGAAUUUUCCACAUGAAAAACUCAGGGCCUGAAGAGAUGCUUUUACCGCAUCUUAUGUCAGCACCAUAUUUUCCCCGUGAUCUAGACCUCACAAGCAUUGCUUCUUAAAUUUCAGAAAACAGACAAGUUUUUAUGGUAACAUAUUAUAAUAUGUUUAAAUCUGCUCUCAUUCUCUCUUGCAUGACAUAAAUCAAGAAUCCUAUUGUUUUCUCCUGGUGGAAGCAUGGUCCUACCUGAAGAAGGCAGCAGGGUAUUUGCUCUGAUGGUCUUUCUAUACUUUGCAGAAGAAAAGCAUCUCAAACAGAGCUGGAUGUCUUGGAACAAAGCAGAGAUUUCAGGCCAUGAGCCAUUGCUACCUAGUUUGUAUCACUCACUUAGAAAGUGUCACAAGGCACAGGGAUAUUUUUGCUCUCUUAAAAGAAAUGCACAUUAAAAUGGUACAUUCCCUAGUUAGUGAACAACCAUAUGAAAAAGUGUUCUUCUCUCCCCAGCUAGCAGCAGUGGCUCUGUGGUCAUUUGGUCUUCUUCUGUCUAAAAAACUACAGUACAUUCCUUAGUCCCAGCCACCUUGACUGCUAGCUGUUGUGUUUCCUAUGUCAGAGGAGAUGAGAUCAUUUAUACCACCAGUAAUGAUGUCUGCAGAAGCUCUUCUUUAGUGCCAGGUCAUAGUGCUGGUCUGGAUGAACUACGAAAAGGAUCUACAAACCAUUUAAACUGCUUACUGUUUUAAUUGGCUAUUAGAUAUAAGCCUUCACUCUCUUUCUUUGGCUUCUUCCUGAUAAAAGAAGAGAGGACCCUGUUGAGCUAUCUUGGUGGAGGAAGAUUGCACGAAAGCAGAAUUUUGCAAAAAAUCAUUAAAGAGAGAACUUAGAGCAAGAAGUGAGAGGAAAAAAAAAGAAAUAAAAUAGAAAUCUAAGGGAAGAGGAUGAAAAGGUAGAUCUGCAAACAUAAGACCAGUGGAACAGAAUUUUAUUCAAAUUAUAUCUUGUCGCAUCUUCUUCGUCUUCAAGAGAAGGGUGACCAUGUCAAAUACUACUGAAAUAGACAGAUGGGAGUGAUAAAGCCAUUAUGCAAUAUAUGUGGGGAGUGAUAAGGCCAUUAUGUGACUUAUGUGUUGGAAACUGAUUUUGCCAUCAGUGUGUAUAACAAUAAAUUAGGCUUGUUGAACUUUAUCCACAGCUCAAGAAGAAUGAGUAAAUUUAGGAAUAACUGACAAAACUUUUCUGCAGAGGGUGUUUGUGAGGAAGCUGCCUAGCAGAACGAAGGCUACUUGCCAAGUGUCCAGCCAGCCUGAAGAGGGUCUGCAAACAUUGCAGGACUAGACAUGAUGAAAAAUCAUUUGAAGCAGACAUAUUUUUUUUUCAUUAACAUGUGUCUUCCUCAUUUACAGUUCAGUUAGCACAUGCACUGUGGCAUCCAGGAGGAAAUGCUGUGAUACUCCAGGAUACUGGUACAACACUAUAGCUGGUGCAUUGGGUUUUGGCACAAUGCUUCUGAAAUACACACUGUAAAAAAUGGCCAACAAAAUGGUGUUUUCUGAACUCAGCCUUCCUACCUUCUACAUUCAUCAACACUCAACAGAGUGGUAAUCAAGCUGUAAUCUAGCUGAGAACCAAGUGCUUAAACAGAUUCUGUUGCAAGAUUUCACUUACUAUCUGAACACAUGGGUUGCUUGAAACUUUCUGUUCCUUACACACUUUCUGCAAAACCCACAACAGCAAUAGUCAAAUGUUCUUACAAACUUUUCAUGGACUUUAAAUUAUUCUUUCUUUUAUUCUGCAAUGCAUUAACUUCUAAUACUAAUAUGAUUUUUUUUAAAGGAAUAUAACAUGUAUCAUCUGAAGUGCUGGGUUUUUUAAGGUCAUGUUGGCUCACAAGUUUUACUUGUCAGAAUGUGCAGCUUUUCUUCUGUGGAUGUGACCAUCUGUCUUUAGUUCAAAGUCCAAAUUACCUCUCAAAAUCUGAUUCAUAAAUACAAAUAAGAUUUGUUUACAGCUGGGUCUACUCUAAAUGAUGCUAAUCAGCUGAACUCCUGGCUCUUGUACAGCUUUUAAAACUUCAAAGUGCAUAAAAACCACAAUCGUGUCACUUUUUUUUCUUCUGUUUGCCAAUAGCAUCUAGUUGUUGACUGGGGAGCUAGGAACAAAGUACAAGUGAUAAUGGAAUUAUAUUGAUAACAAUGAACAACAGCAAUACAAAAAUCCCAGUACUGCCCAUGUGACAACCAAUGCACAGCAAAUAACCUGACAUCUGGGCACUAAGUUCCCCAUGGACUGCUUUGUCAUUUUCCAGUAUACUCCACUAAAUAAGUCAAAAACUACUUGAAUGUAAGCAAACUUUAUUCUGAAAUGUUUAUAAUAAAAGCUGAAACGUAGCAAGCCAAGAAUUUUCUAGGAUAUUUACUUCAGCAAUUACAUUUUGAAUUGCAGAGGUUGGGAUUUUUUCAGUAUGAAACAAAUCUCUGUGUUUCUGUAUCAUAUGCUUUUGUGAGAUACCUGUGAAAGUAAGUUUGCUGGCUUCACAGAAAGCUAUUGAUCCCAGUGGAAGAGGUUUUCAGUCUGCCACAGGGUUGAUGGUGAUAAACAGGACUGUAUUUAAUAGUAGAAGUCUGUUACUACCCAAAACUCAGUAAAAACGAUGUCUUGACAGAAAAUUGUUCUUCAGACAAUGGAAGACUAUAUUUGAUAUAAUCAGCACAAAAGCACAUUGCCCUCUUUCUGGUAAUCAUCAAAUGUUUGGUUUCUUAACUUGAAAAUAAACAAGCCUCAAGGAAUCUGAAAAUUUGAGGUUUCAUACAUCUC